GCGGAAGUGUCGGAACUGGCAGACGAGCAAGACUAAGGAUCUUGUGCUCAUUGCGAGCGUGCGGGUUCAAGUCCCGCCUUCCGCACGA
rnacentral:tRNA from 1 species